GUCGUAACAAGGUUUCCGUAGGUGAACCUGCGGAAGGAUCAUUAUCGAAUUGGCUGGAUUGUGCUGGCUUCGGCAUGUGCACAUCCAUUUCAUCCAAUACACCCUGUGCAUUUAUGACCCCCAUUUGAAGUCUUCGGACGGAUAAGAGGGGUAUUUACUACACUCUUUUAUAAAGUAUGUGAUACAAUUUAAGACGCUUGUCGUCGAUUUAAAUAACAACUUUCAACAACGGAUCUCUUGGCUCUCGCAUCGAUGAAGAACGCAGCGAAAUGCGAUAAGUAAUGUGAAUUGCAGAAUUCAGUGAAUCAUCGAAUCUUUGAACGCACCUUGCACCCUUUGGUAUUCCGAAGGGUAUGCCCGUUUGAGUGUCAUUGUAAUCUCACACCCAAGACUUCUUGUCGAGGGAGGUGGACUUGGACGUUUGCCGUGUUACAACGGCUCGUCUUAAAUGUGUUAGCGCGGCUUUGAUAACAGCGUUACGCCUAGUGUAAUAAAUAUUUCGCUAGGUAGCUUGUAUAGUCAAGUGUGUGCUUUCUAAUCGUCUUCGGACUGGACUGUAAUGGUCUAUUUGACAACUUGGCCUCAAAUCGGGUAGGACUACCCGCUGAACUUAAGCAUAUCAAUAAGCGGAGGAAAAGAAACUAACAAGGAUUCCCCUAGUAACGGCGAGUGAAGAGGGAAGAGCUCAAAUUUUGAAUCUGGCGUCUUCGGCGUCCGAGUUGUAAUCUAUAGAAGUGUUUUCCGCGAUGGACCUUGCACAAGUCUCCUGGAACGGUGCGUCAUAGAGGGUGAGAAUCCCGUAUAUGGCAAGGACUCCCAUUGCUUUGCGAUACACUCUCAACGAGUCGAGUUGUUUGGGAAUGCAGCUCAAAGUGGGUGGUAAAUUCCAUCUAAAGCUAAAUAUUGGCGAGAGACCGAUAGCGAACAAGUACCGUGAGGGAAAGAUGAAAAGCACUUUGGAAAGAGAGUGAAACAGUACGUGAAAUUGUUGAAAGGGAAACGCUUGAAGUCAGUCGCGUCCUUUGGGAUUCAGCCUUGCUUCUGCUCGGUUUACUUCCUUUUGGACGGGUCAACGUCAGUUUUGAUCGGGGGAGAAAGACUUGGGGAAUGUGGCUUUGUUCGCAAAGUGUUAUAGCCCCUUGUUGUAUACCUCGGACGGGACUGAGGACCGCAGCGCGCCUUUAUGGCCGGGGUUCGCCCACGUACGCGCUUAGGAUGUUGGCAUAAUGGCUUUAAGCGACC
rnacentral:rRNA from 1 species